GCCGUUAACGGAGACUCAGCCGUUAACGGAGUCUGUUUCUGCCGUUAACGGAGUCUUUUACUGCCGUUAACGGAGACCGUUUCCGCCGUUAACGGAGACUGUUUCUGCCGUUAACGGAGUCUGUUUCUGCCGUUAACGGAGUCUUUUACUGCCGUUAACGGAGACCGUUUCCGCCGUUAACGGAGACCGUUUCCGCCGUUAACGGAGACUGUUUCUGCCGUUAACGGAGUCUGUUUCAGCCGUUAACGGAGACAGUUUCUGCCGUUAACGGAGACUGUUUCUGCCGUUAACGGAGACAGUUUCUGCCGUUAACGGCCACUUCCAGGCUGAAAAUGAAUCGCGCAUGCGCAUGGCCGCCGCCGUUCCCGCCCAGCGGGGUGUAAUGUCUCGUCGAUCACUCGCGCGCAACAAUAUGCAAAUGAGGCGAUGACGUCAUAUAGCGACAUUUAAAACAGCCAAUAGCUACUUUCCUUACUGAGGAGUUGGCAACACACAGAGAAGAGCAGAGAAGAAGAAGAUAGAGCAGAGAAGAGCAGAGAAGAAGAAGAAGAAGAUAGAGAAGAGCAGAGAAGAAGAAGAUAGAGAAGAGCAGAGAAGAAGAAGAUAGAGAAGAGCAGAGAAGAAGAAGAAGAUAGAGAAGAGCAGAGAAGAAGAAGAUAGAGAAGAGCAGAGAAGAAGAAGAUAGAGAAGAGCAGAGAAGAAGAAGAAGAUAGAGAAGAGCAGAGAAGAAGAAGAAGAUAGAGAAGAGCAGAGAAGAAGAAGAUAGAGAAGAGCAGAGAAGAAGAAGAAGAUAGAGAAGAGCAGAGAAGAAGAAGAUAGAGAAGAGCAGAGAAGAAGAAGAAGAAGAUAGAGAAGAGCAGAGAAGAAGAAGAUAGAGAAGAGCAGAGAAGAAGAAGAAGAUAGAGAAGAGCAGAGAAGAAGAAGAUAGAGAAGAGCAGAGAAGAAGAAGAUAGAGAAGAGAAGAGAAGAAGUGAACUCCUCCUGACAUUUGGAUUUAUUGUCUUCAAACCAGAAACUUCAGAAGGUGGCUGUUGGAUGAUGAUGUAGGCUUCACAAUCUACCUCAUCAACACACCCAGGAAGAAGAGGCUGCCAGAGUGAACAUGACUGAGGGGCACAGCGAGGCCAGCAUGGCAUCUUUUGUGGGUUCUGCCCGCAGCUAUGAUGAAAUACAAUUAAAACCCAAAGCUGGAGCAGCCUCAGAGGACGAGCAGCUGGUUGGCUUUGGCUGUGGACCAGAGAGCAGCUGGAGGGAGGUGUGGGACAGGAGGGCUGACGGCUACGCUGCCUUCAUCAUGAGAACUAAGUGUUUUCAGGGACUCAGAUGUACAGACUGCAGCAGUAGCUGAUAAGGAAACAGUCGGCCUCUGUCUCCUCUUCACCAGUUCCUGCCUCAAGUGCACCUGAUGAAGACACCAUCCCACCGUGCCGACAGUGAAGAGACCUGUAACCAUUCCUCCUGAGCUGCAGGUUCUGGUGACAGAGGUUGCUCAUCCCAACAAACUGAGUUCUUUCAGCGUGAACUUCAGCUAACCGAGCGCAGAGUGGAAGACAGAGCGGAAAAGAAGAGGAAACUGCCGGACCCUCAGCCUCGAGGAACAAUGUGUCGUUUCUGUCACACAGAGCUGAAGCAGGGUCCAACCAGCAGACACACACACACACACACACACACACACACACAGACACACAGACACACACACAGACACACAGACACACACACACACACAGACACACACUCAGGAUUCCCGGGGGGGAAACACAUUCACUGUCCAGCUAAGGUCCUUGUGUCAUAAAGACAUGACAAAGGAAAUGACGUGGAAAGAAUUUGAGGCCUCACCGUUCAAUGUGAUGGAGAAAGAGAGGGUGGACGGCAGAAAGAAAAAGAUAGCUGAGGUCAUACAUUAUCCAUCUGUUGUUCUGUUCUUCACAUUUUGUCCCAAAGGUCCAGUGUCUAACAUUUAUUUCUUUAUUUAUUAUUAUAUUGAUUUGUAUUGUUUGUGUUAUUGUGUUCUUGUUACCUUAGAAUGAGACGUGUUUAUCUACAGAGAGAGAGCGGGUCAGCUUCCAUGGAGUUCGCCAUGUUCAACCACCGUGUUUCUACAGUAGCCCCAAAGGGACAAACAGAACACUGGCUCUAGAUAGAGCCUUUCACAUUUCACAUGUUUCUGUGACACCAUAGUUUCUGGGGAGGGGGAGGGAGGAGCCAGUGAGUUGCAACUACACCACUAGAUGCCAAUAAAGGCUUCACAAUGUCCUUUAACAUAAACGCCGUUCGACCACGAAGCAUUGCAUUCUGUGAAAUUACAACUGAUUAAUCUGAUUGAUUUAGUUGUUUCCUUGUAUAUAUUUAUAAUUGAUUAUUGGAUAUAAAACUGAUUGAAAGAUUGAUUAUACUUGUUUUAGCACUCUUUAAAUUGCACUGAAGACAGAGGACAGUGUGGACAGAUUUAAUAAAACAAUGACUUUUAGCACAGAA